rnacentral:tRNA from 1 species
AAGUAUUUACUCUAAAUAAGAACACUGAUUUCGACUCAGUAAAUUUUGGUUUAUUCCAAAAAUACUUU